GCGAGUGUAUCCGCCGUUCGAACCGACGACCGCGCACGUCAUAGCCAGGCCAGCUGUCUGACCAUUGCAUCACACUGCCCCCGAUUAUAAAUGUAUUAAUAGCAGAUCCAAUGAUGGAUUUACUUUUUCGGGAUGAGAAGGAGGCAUCCAAUGCUGUGUGAAAAACUUCAUAAAGACGCGACUGAAGAAGUGUCGACAGAGACGGAUUUGGUUACCUAUAUCUAUGGUAAAAUAAUAAAAAAAAAAUGAAUUACCAUUCUGCAUUUAAAUAUCGUUUAUCCUGGAUUUCAUUAAGACUGAAAAAGAUCCUUCCAACUCACAUUUUAAGAAGUAUUCCACCAGACAGCUGCAAAUAUCAAUUCCAAUAGUUACCAUACUUCUAUUGAUAUUCAAUUAAUGGAUUCGGAUGAAAGUUGAUCGUUCAUAGCGAUUAACCAAAGAAUAAAAGAAAAAAAAAUCCAGAAAUCAUUGUUCCAUUUAAAAUUCUUACAUACUAGGUGAUAUGUAUAUUUCUUUGAUAAAAAAAAAUUAAGUAAUAAACAUUUAGUUACUCAAAUUAUUAAAAACAUUGUUAAAUUUGUUCCUCCUUCAUAAAUAUUUUUAUAUUAUAAUUCAUAGUAAAAUUAAUAUUGUGUGUUUAUUUAUAUUUUAUCUUAAAAAGUGUUAUUGUAAUGCCAAUAUAGUAAU